rnacentral:lncRNA from 1 species
UGAAAAACUCAAAUAUCAAUACGUUACAAUUAAAGUCAAUAAAUUUAAUUAUAAUGUUUUUUGCAUUUUCUCUGUUUUUAGUGUUUGAAACAUAUAUUUAACUUUUUUUUAAAAAUGUUUAAAAUAAGUAAAUAAUUCUACAAAGGUUGAUUUGGAAUAGUAAACAUAGUCACCUUGAGAAGGCUAUUAUAGGUUUCAUGUUACUAAUAAAAGUAGUUGUACGUUAUUUUCACAAUUUGUUUUGUUUUUCAUAACUUUAACCCAUCUUAGUUUAUAUAAACUGUCAUUUUCUUUAUUUCUUUUUUUAUGAUCACUUUUUUAAAACAACAUAUUAUGAUAUCAAUAAAUUAUAUUUUAGAAUUUUAGAUUUAGAAAAACUCAAAUAUCAAUAUUUUACAAUUUAAGUCUAUAAAUUUAAUCAUAAUGUUUUUUGCAUUUUCUCUGUUUUUAGUCUUUAAAACAUAUAUUUAACUUUUUUUUAAAAAAGUUUAAAAUAAGUAAAUAAUUUUACAAAGGUUGGUUUGGAAUAGUAAACAUAGUCACCUUGAGAAGGCUACUAUAGGUUUCAUGUUACUAAUAAAAGUAGUUGUACGUUAUUUUCAUAAUUUGUUUUGUUUUUCAUAACUUUAACCCAUCUUAGUUUAUAUAAACUGUCAUUUUCUUUAUUUCUAUUUUUAUGGUCAUUUCUUUAAAACAAAAUAUUAAGAUAUCAAUCAAUUAUAUUUUAGAAUUAUAGAUUUUGAAAAACUCAAAUAUCAAUACGUUACAAUUAAAGUCAAUAAAUUUAAUUAUAAUGUUUUUUGCAUUUUCUCUAUUUUUAGUGUUUGAAACAUAUAUUUAACUUCUUUUUUAAAAAUGUUUAAAAUAAGUAAAUAAUUCUACAAAGGUUGAUUUGGAAUAGUAAACAUAGUCGCCUUGAGAAGGCUAUUAUAGGUUUCAUGUUACUAAUAAAAGUAGUUGUACG